rnacentral:rRNA from 1 species
CCUACGGGAGGCAGCAGUGAGGAAUAUUGGUCAAUGGACGAGAGUCUGAACCAGCCAAGUAGCGUGAAGGAUGACUGCCCUAUGGGUUGUAAACUUCUUUUGUCAGGGAGCAAUUGGGUCCACGCGUGGGCUUAGCGAGAGUACCUGAAGAAAAAGCAUCGGCUAACUCCGUGCCAGCAGCCGCGGUAAUACGGAGGAUGCGAGCGUUAUCCGGAUUUACUGGGUGUAAAGGGCGUGCAGCCGGGAGUACAAGUCAGAUGUGAAAUCCCGCGGCUCAACCGCGGAACUGCAUUUGAAACUGUAUUUCUUGAGUACUGGAGAGGCAGACGGAAUUCCUAGUGUAGCGGUGAAAUGCGUAGAUAUUAGGAGGAACACCAGUGGCGAAGGCGGUCUGCUGGACAGCAACUGACGGUGAGGCGCGAAAGCGUGGGGAGCAAACAGGAUUAGAUACCCUUGUAGUC